rnacentral:ncRNA from 1 species
ACAUUCCUUCGGGGCAGGGUGAAAUUCCCGACCGGCGGUGAUCAUACCUAGUGUGUGUAAGCCCGCGAGCCUCCUGAGCUGAUAAACAGCAAGGAGUGCAGGAUCUGGUGAGACUCCAGAGCCGACAGUACAGUCUGGAUGGGAGAAGGAUGAC